rnacentral:tRNA from 1 species
UCCCUGGCAGUCCAGUGGUUAGGACUCUGCGUUCUCACUGCCAAGGGCCAGGGUUCGAUCCCUAGUCAGGGAG